rnacentral:rRNA from 1 species
UACGGGGGGGGCAAGCGUUGUUCGGAAUUACUGGGCGUAAAGGGCUCGUAGGCGGCCAACUAAGUCAGACGUGAAAUCCCUCGGCUUAACCGGGGAACUGCAUCUGAUACUGGAUGACUUGAGAUUGGGAGAGGGAUGCGGAAUUCCAGGUGUAGCGGUGAAAUGCGUAGAUAUCUGGAGGAACACCGGUGGCGAAGGCGGCAUCCUGGACCGACACUGACGCUGAGGAGCGAAAGCCAGGGGAGCAAACGGG